UACGUAGGGGGCUAGCGUUGUCCGGAAUCAUUGGGCGUAAAGAGCGUGUAGGCGGCCCGGUAAGUCCGCUGUGAAAGUCGGGGGCUCAACCCUCGAAUGCCGGUGGAUACUGUCGGGCUAGAGUGCGGAAGAGGCGAGUGGAAUUCCUGGUGUAGCGGUGGAAUGCGCAGAUAUCAGGAGGAACACCAAUGGCGAAGGCAGAUCUCUGGGCCGUAACUGACGCUGAGGAGCGAAAGCAUGGGGAGCGAACAGG
rnacentral:rRNA from 1 species